rnacentral:rRNA from 1 species
UACAGAGGUCUCAAGCGUUGUUCGGAUUCAUUGGGCGUAAAGGGCGCGUAGGCGGCGGGGUAAGUCGGGUGUGAAAUCUCAGAGCUCAACUCUGAAACUGCACUCGAUACUGCUCUGCUUGAGGACUGGAGAGGAGACUGGAAUUCACGGUGUAGCAGUGAAAUGCGUAGAUAUCGUGAGGAAGACCAGUGGCGAAGGCGGGUCUAUGGACAGUUCCUGACGCUGAGGCGCGAAGGCCAGGGGGAGCAAAACGGGG